CUGUAAUUAAUCUAUUUGAAAGACACAGUUUCAGCAGGGAGAAAUGGAGGGAAGGGGAGAGAAAGGGAUGGAGAGAGCAAGAGUGGAAACAACACCACUUUAAUUUUGAAGAUAUCAUAAACACCUUUCACAGUCUGCGUUGCAAGAACUCAGGAGCCUGGAGGAGCGACAAUAGGUCCGUUACCAUCCCCAGGAAUCCUCCCUCAGGAAGAAGACAGGAGCUGAGUGAGGCUGAGGCUGUAACCUGCUGUUCUAUGGGGAAGGAAGCCUGGCUUGUUUGUGCAGCAUCUCCAGUAACAUUGUUUCUAUUCUCUCCAUGUGUGCUCUGAGUGUUUCACCUUCAGCAGACAAACAGAGCAGCAGGCUGAUGGUGGGCAGCACCACCAGAACUCAGUUUGCAAAUGCUCAAUUCCUCUAAAGGGACACCUUUAUGCCUCUAUUUUUGAUUUUGAACAUACAAGUACAUAUGUGUGUGAGUGAACGUACACAUGAGUGAGGGAGCCACCAUCUGUUCAAGCCAUGGCAGAGCUUGGAAAUCUUUUGGGACAAUGAGCUGAGCCUGCCUGGGCUAAGAUGAGCAGUUGACUCCUCUUACUGGACGUCUUUAAUGGACAGGAACCAAGAGGAAAUGAAAAAGGGGGUGGGAAUGGGGGUGGAAAUAGAGACUGGGAGGAUCAGUGCUUCUAUACGUGUAUUGAAACAAUAGAAAAAGCCUGAAGAGGACUGUGCUAAUUUAUCAAAUCCUAAAUACCGAUCUCCACCACCAACUUAAGCCAAAAGCUUUUGGGGUCCUUUCUCUUUAACCAAGUAGAAAGUUUCUUGAGAAAACCAGCCUGGUGUGUCCCCAGCUGUGAUUGGUCUAGAGCCUCCUCUGCCCUCAGGGGGGCCAUUGUGAUGUCAUUCCAACUGCCUCAACAGUUCCCUGCUUGGGCUCGGUUCUGGUCAGUUGGCCCAGGAAGCUCUGUGGAGACUGCCUGAAGGAUUGGACGACAUCACUGGUUUUCCCUUGUCCUGUCUCUUGUGUUGUUGUUUUGUCUCGUCUAUUAGUUCUCCUUACCGUAGUGGUUCUUUUAGUUUUUCUUCUUUUUUUUUUUUUUGCUAUUUUUUCAUUUUCUCUCCCCCUCCCAUUUUUACAUUGUGUGCUUGUGUAUUUUCUUUAAAUAUUUAUUUAUUUAUUUUUUGUUUUUUUCUUUCACAGGCUAAAUGUACUUGAUGCUGUGUUCAUUGUGUUUCCUCGUUUUCUGACUGUUUUCUCAUUUUUUGAUCCUUUGAUUUAGAUAAGACUGUUAUAAGACUUAUUGAUUAGCAUUGUUACCAUAGUUACCGUAGUUGGUGUUGCUUUCCUUCACCAUUUUUAGUAUUCAGUGUGUUUUAUAACUUUUAAUUCUUAAUUUUCCUACAGUGUUAGUGAUUAGUAUACCAUAGUUCAUAGAGUUAGCAUUAUCUAGUAGAAAUAUUAGCAUAUUGAGUUGUUAAUUUUGGUUACCAUUUAGCUUGUUUGAUUUCUAUUUGUUUCCCAGUUUUUGUUAUUACUUUAGGUGACUAGUAAGAGUUCCCAGUGUCAGAGUGCAGGGUGGGGGGGUGGGGGUGGGGAUCCCACCAUGGAAGGCCUCACCGCCUUCAGCAGUGAGGAGGAGGUCCUGGAUGGGUACCAGGUCCUCAGGGUCCUCGGCCAGGGCGGUUUUGGGCUGGUGGUCCUGGCCUAUCAUUGGGAAAGCAGGACCCAGGUGGCUGUGAAGGUUGUGGAGAAUGGUGGCCAGCACUCCUGCAGCUUCCAGCAGUUGUGCACAGAAGCAGAAAUAAUGAAGGGGCUGCAUCACCCUCACAUCAUUCAACUACUGCAGGCCAGGCACACCACAGAGAGGGGCUACAUUUUCAUGGAAUACGCAGUCAGGGGGGACCUUAGAUGUUACAUGGUAGAACGAGGGUACCUGCUGGAUGGAGAGAUUCGUCAGCUAUUUAAACAAAUUCUAUCUGCUGUGCAUUACUGCCAUUCGCAGCACGUGGUGCACAGGGAUUUAAAGUUAGAAAACCUGCUUCUCGACGCCCACCUAAACAUUAAGUUGAGCGAUUUUGGUCUCAGCUGCAAACUGGCUGGUGGAGAGCGCCUGAAGAGUCUGUGCGGGACCUUUGCCUACUGUGCGCCCGAGGAAUUCUUAGGUGAGGAGUUCUGCGGGUACAAGGCUGAUGCCUGGAGUGUGGGCGUGAUCCUGUAUGCCAUGGUGGCAGGCUCACUGCCUUUUGUUGGAGAGGAUUUUGUGGAGCUGCGGGCAGCCAUCCUGUCUGGAUACUACAGAAUCCCCCACUAUGGAAACCCAGAGCUGUGUAACCUGGUGGACAGCUUACUGACCCGGGACCCUGAGGCCAGGCCCACAGUGGCAGACAUCAUGGGCCACCCCUGGCUCCAUGCAGGACAUGGAGCAGCUGGAACCAGUGACGAGUUUCUGUUUCUUCCCCAGGAGCAGGAAGUCUGGGAAUUCCCAUGGGGCCUCUGCCCUCCACUGUGGCUUCAUGAAUGGGAUGACCCCUUGCCCCCUGUGCCACGCUGGGGGAUCUCCCAACAGCAGGGCUUCAGCAUCCCAGAAAUACAUGGGUGGAGCCAAGUGGAGCCUGCAGUACCUCCUCAGGGUCCUGAAGCUCUAAGCUCCCUGGAGGACCUGGGAUUCCAGCUGGGCCAUCAAGCCGGCUCCCUGCCACCCAGGCUCCCAGCCAGUGCCUUGUGCCCAGGACUUCAGUGGGAUCACAGCAAAGGGAAGCCCACGCCUCAGGCCAUCCCUGGUGCUCAGAGCUGUCCCGUUCUCCAGUGCCUCCAGGGACACUCAGGCUGCAACAGCAGAGCCCGUGAGUGUGUCGCUCUCAGCUCACAACCACUGGUGCUUGCAGGAGACCAGUCGGGGCAGACUCCUUGCGGUGGGACUCCCAGUGUGAGCAGCAGUGAGUCCUGCAGGACAGACAGUCCUCAACGGGCCGUGUGGACAAGGAGCCCCGCUGUCUGUGCAGUCCUCAGCCAGGAUGCUCUGACCUCUCUCUCCACCACACUGAGCACCAACAGCAGUGAGGCUGAUGGAGAAGUCAGGAGCUGCUCCCAGGGUGCCUCAGAGGAACAGAGCAUCCCAGGAAUGCAGCAGCAGGAGGAGGAGCAGGAGGCAGGGACUUCAGACACGCAGGCCAGAAAGGGCAAGGGGCGCCUGGGGAUUGGCAGGAGGAUCAUCCAAUGCUUCGGCUGGAUGUGUUGUGUCCUGCCAGCCCCAGAGGAAAGCCCUUGAGCCCAGAGAGGAAAGUGGCCUCUCAGUAGCCUCUUGGGAAAUGCCCCCGAGGAGGGGCCCUUCCCUGAGGAGUGAAGCAAUGAAGGGUAGUCAGGGACUCGUGUCUGGGAGGAGGGCAGGUGAUAGGCAGUAAGAGAAACUGCAGGCAGAGAGGGAAGAUAUAGUGUUACAUUAUUCAAAUGGCCAGUAAGGAAACACGUUUUCAAGGUUAGGGGUCAUGACCUUUUCCUAAGAUAGAAGAACAUGGUGUUGGAUUUUGUUUAGAAGAUUAAUCCAUGAACAUCACUCGCUAGUUAAACUUCCGUGUUCCCAGGCCUUAUUGGACCCCUCCCUUAGUCCCCCUUCUGGCUUGCAAGAGUAUGAUUUUCUCACUAAAACCUACUUUUGCUUUUUCUCCCCCACCCUCAUGAUCCGUGUUGGGAUUAUGUGAGAGAAAGAAUGGACUUGAACUUCCUGCAGCAUCGUUGGUGCCAUGACGUGGAUGGACUCAGCUCCAUGGGAAAGGUGAGUAAGGCAGACUGUUCCUCUGGUGUUUGGAAAACCCCUGAUCUUCUACAUGGUCAUUUAUCUUUUAGAUUCCCCAGGUCUCUGAGCCAGUUCAAAGCGAUUGGUGUGGGAUGCUGGUUGUAAGAUACAGGGCCCACGUUGGAUGACACUCUUUGUCCUCCUCCCACUUUAUUCUGUCUUUGAUUAUUGCCUGCACUCUGUGCUCAGGUGGCUCUCUGCCCUGGGAAGUCUUCUCACCCUGAUUUCCUUCUCCAAGCCCAAGUUCCCAGGUCCCUGGAUGAGAAACUCCUGCGACAACUUAGACCUCCUAGAUCUGAACUGAGGAGCCUGCAUUGCAGACCGAGGUGGCCUCUCCCAUUGAGCUGCCUUCUUGUGUGCCCCAAAGAACUCAGGACCCACAUGUCUGGGAAGAAGUCACCUGGCACCUUAACUCGUGCCCAUGGUUUCCGUUUUCCAGCUCAGGUUUUCUUUGGCAAAGAACAUGUUGGAAGUCAUUCCUUCCCAGAGCCAUGCUCCUGAAGGUGACUCCCAGGGAAAAUUUCUAUCCUCAGGCCACACCCACGUUCCCCCUCUGCACAUUCAACAGUUCUGCACUUGCCCACCCUCAAACUUUGGCCACAAGAGAGUUAGUUGAGACCCCCUUUGUAGAGCCUCAUUUCCAAGUUCAGACAUGAUGCAGGGACAGCAGGAGUGCCAGAGGACAGAGGCAAUGACUGCUAGGGGCAGCGCGAACCUCAAAGACUCAGCGACUCCUGGGAGAAUGGGGGGGGUCCUAAAACUCAGCUGCUGUGGGGGGGUGAGGAAGGAGGAGGCAGCUUCUGGGGUCCACGUGGUGACCUAGUGAUUCAGUGGCAGUGGGAGUGCCCAGGGAAGGAGCUGGUGGGGCCUGGGGGCCGUGUGGUGGGGCCUGGGAGUUACAAGAGGGCCCAGAUAACCACAGGGGAGCCCAAGAAGAAGUAGGAAGAGUCCUCGGGCAAUCACUAGGGAGGCUGCUGGGGACCGUGCUGGGGGCCCCAUGACGGGUGGCUCCUGGUGGCUGCACUGGGGCAUAAAGAUGUGGCCUCACUCGGUGUGCCUGAGGAAGCAGAAGGAGGCAGCCAAGGCAGGCCAUGAAGUGGCAGGUGCUGGGGAACCGUGCGGGCUGCCCAAUGCUGCAGUGACAGCAGGGGCGCACAAAGAUGGAGGCAGUGGCUGCUAGGGACCACCGAGUGACACCAGUGACUUAUUGGCAGCAAUGGGAGCCGGGCCCAGCCGCUUAAGGUAAGAGGGAAGCCCUGAAGUGGGGCCCAGGCUCUGGAGUGUGAAUGUUGGAGUGGGUCCCAGGUUCUGCAGGGCAAGGAGAGGUGCGGGACCCAGGCGCUGGAAGGCCAGGAGCGGAGCAGGGGCUGGCCCUGAAGGUGUGGAGGGAAGCGGGGUCUGGCUCUGGAGGGAGGACAGGGAUGGGCCUGUGGGGAGAAGGGCCUGGCUGUGGAUGGGGAGGAGGGGAGCAGAGCCAGACCAAGAGUGCGAGGAGGAGAUUGGUGCCUGUGGGGAGCAACUCGGACUAUACUGUUACUGGAAUUAAUACUUAUUCUAUACAUCUGCUCUCCACAAUAUGGCGCUGGGAGAGGAGCAAACAGCUUCUACCCAGCUGCCUCUCACCAACUUGAUUGACUGAGCUGCAGGAGCUGAUCUUGCUCCUGAUUGGAGGAGAGCAGCGUACUCGGCAUGUGGGUAGCAGAGUUGGGAUUGGUGGAAGAGGACUAUAAAGGAGGAGAGAGACAACAUGCACCAGGAACAUCUAAGGGGAACAUCUAUCUGAAGGAACACCUGUGCAGCCCCCGAGAGAGCCGGCCGGCGGUGUGCCGCUCCCCCGCGGAAGUGGGGAAUGUGGCAGGGGGAACCGCCCUUCCACGGAGGUGGAAGGGUCGGUAGCCACCCCGGGAAGAACCAGCAGCAAACCCGGGGAGGGCCGAGCAGACAAAAGAACAGCGCAGGGUCCUGUGUCGUUCCUCCAUGAAGACGGGGAGCGACAGUGCCAGCCCUGGAGCAUGAGGAGGGGAACACUGGCCCUGGAGGUGAGGAGGGGAGCAGAGUUUGGCCCUGGAGGGAGGCCAGGGCCGGGCCUGAGGGGAGAAGGGCCCGACCCUGCAGGCUGAGGAGGGGAUUGGGGCCCAGCUCUGGAAUGUGGUGAGGGGAGCAGGGCCUGGCCCUGAAGGACAGCAAUGGGAGCUGGGCCCAGGCCCUGGUGGGCAACUAGGGGAGUGGGGCCCAGGCCCUGGAGGACAAGGAGAGUGGGGCAGCCCUGCUGGGUGUCUAGUGCCACAACUGAAGGGAGCAGGGCCUGGCUCUGUAGGGCAUGGAGAGGAGAAGGAGCCCAGCCCUAGAGGGUGGCCAGGGCCCUGCCUGAGGGGAUCAUGGCCCUGGAGGGCAAGGAGGAGAGAGGGGCAUGUCACUGGAGCGUGGCCAGGGCCCUGCCUGUGCUCUGGAGCCUAUGUCCUGUGGCCUGUGACCUGUGUCCUGAAAUCUGUCCUGUGUCCUGUAGCCUGAGUCCUUUCGCCUGUGUUCUGUGUUGUGUAGCCUGUAUCUUGUAGCCUGUGUGUUGUGUUGUAGGCGUGUGUCCUGUGGCCUGUAUCCUGUGUCCUAUGUUCUACAGCCUGUGUCCUGUAGCCUGUGUCCUGUGUCCUGUUUUGUGGCUAGUGUGUGUGUCCUGUGGCUUCUGUCUUCUUUCCUAUAACUUGUGACCUAUAGCUUGUCCUAUAGAGUGUAGCUUGUGUGCUGUAGCCUGUGUCCUCUAUCCUGUGUCCUAUGUCCAUUAGCCUUUUCAUGUGGCCUGUGUCCUUGUCCUGUAGACAGUGUCCCAUUGCCUGUGUCCUAUAGCAUGUGUCCUAUAGCCUGUGUCCUUUGUCCUGUGUCCUGUGUCCACUGGCCUGUUUCUUUCUGCAUGUGUCCUGUGGCCUAUGUCCUGUGUCCAGUGUAGUGUUGCCUCUGUCCUAUAGCUGGUGUCCUGUGUCUUGUUCCCUCUGUCCUUUAGCCUGUGUCAUGUUGCCUGUGUCUUGUGUCCUGUAGCUUAUUUCCUGUGGCCCAUAUCCUGUGUCUUGUGUCCUGUAGCCUGUGUCUUAUGUCCUGUGUUCAGUGUCCUGUAGCCUUUGUAUUAUGUCUGAUAGUCUGUUUCCUUUGUCCUUUGUCCUAUAGGCUAUAUCCUAUCCUCUGUGUCCCAUGUCUUGUAUCCUGUGAUCUGUGUCCUGUAGCUGUGUCAUGUGUUCCAUAUUCUGUGUCCUGUAGCCUCAGUCCUGUGUCCCGUGUCCUAUGUUGUGUAGCCUGUGUCCAGUGUCUUGUAGCCUGUGGCCUAUGUAUGCAACCUGUGUCCUGUGGUCUCUGUCCUCUAGCUGGUGUCCUAUGUCCCCUAGCCUGUGUCCCGUGUAUUGAGCCUGUGUCAAGUGUCCUGAGCCUGUGUCCUGAGCCUGUGUCAUGUGUCCUAUAGCCUGUGGCCUGUAGUCUUUGUCCUAAAGCUGGUGUCUCUUUGUAGUAGCCUGUGUCCUGUGUCCUGAGCCUGUGUCGAGUGUCCUGUAGUCUGUGUCCUGUGUCCUGUGUCCUAUAGCCUGUGUCCUGUAGUCUUUGUCCUAAAGCUGGUGUCUCUUUAUAGUAGCUUAUAUCCUGUGUACUGAAGCUGGUUUCUUGUAGCCUGUGGACAAUGUCCUGUAGUCUGUGUCCUGUGUCCUGUAGCCUGUGCCCUGUGCUCUGGAUCCUAUGUCCUGUGGCCUGUGACCUGUGGCCUCUGUCUUGUGUUGUGUAGCCUGUGUCCUGUAGUCCGUGGCCUAUGUCCUGUAGCUGUGGCCUUUGUCCUGUGGCCGGUGUGCUGUAUGCUGUGGUGCAGGAUAUUGGAUAUGGCUACAGAACACAGGUUACAGGACACAGGACAGAGGCCACAGGUCACAGGCCACAGGCUACAGGAUUCAGGGCAUAGGCCAGAGGAAACAGGACACAGGAUAGAGGACACAGAAUACAGAACCAAGGACACAGGCUAGAAAUCAGGCUAUGGGACACAGGACACAGGCUACAUGACACAGAACACAGGACAUAAGAUAGAGUCUAUGGGACACAAGACACAGGACAUAGGCCACAGGACACAGGCUACAGCACAGAGGCCACAGGCUACAGGACACAGGACAUAGCCCAGAUAACACAGGACAAGGGAUAUAAGACACAGAAUACCGAACACAGGACACAUGAUACAGGACACAGGUUACAGGCUCAGGACAUGGGCCAAAGGCUACAGGACACAGGUUACAGGCUACAGGAGACAGGACAAAGGCUAAAAAACAUAGGACACAGGACACAGGCUACAGGACAUAGGGACAGGCUACAGGACUCAGGACACAGGCUAUAUACAUAGGACACAGGUCACAGGACAGAGGCUCAGGACAGAGGCUAUGGGACACAGGACAGAGCUACAGAUCAAAGGAUACAGGCCACAGGCUACAUGACACAGGAAUCAGGCUACACGACACAGGCUGAAGGAAAGAGGGAACAAGACACCGGACACUGGUUAUAGGAUAGAGUGUCCUGUAGCCUGUGUCCCAUAGCCAUUGUCCUGUGGCCUGUGGCCUGUGUCCUAGAUUGUGUAGCCUGUGUCCUGUGUCCUGUAGCCUCUGUCCUGUGUCCUGUAGCUUGUCGCCUAUGUCUUGUGUCCUGCAUCCUGUGUCCCGUAGCCUGUGUCCUCUAGGCUGUGUCCUGGUUCCAUAUUCUGUGUCCUAUAUCCUGUGUCUUGUGUCAUCUGGGCUAUGUCCUUUGUCCUGUAGCCUGUGUCCUCUGUCCUGUAGCCUUGGUCCUGUGUCCUGUAGCCUGUGGCCUCUGUCCUGUGACAUCACAGACUACUGGACACAAUACACAGGUUACAGGACCCAGAACACAGGACAUAAGACACAGGCUAUAGGACUCAAGACACAGGACAUAGGCCAAAGGACACAGGCUACAGCACAGAGACCACAGGCUACAGGACACAGGGCAUAGCCCAGAUGACACAGGACACAGGAUAUAGGACACAGAAUACCGAACACAGGACACAGGCUAUGGGACACAGGUUACAUGAUACAGGAUAUAGUCCACAAUACACAGGAAUUAGGCCACAGGCUACAGACCACAGGACAUAGCCCAGAUGACACAGGACACAGGAUAUAGGACACAGAAUUUUGAACACAGGACACAGGCUAUGGGAUUCAGGUUACAGGCUCCAGGAUAUAGUCCACAGGCUACAGGACACAGGUUACAGGCUACAGGAGACAGGACAAAGGCUAAACAAUAUAGGACACAGGACACAGGCUAUAGGACACAGGGACAGGAUACAGGGCUCAGGAUACAGGACACAGGACCAGGCUACAGGACACAGGACAAAGGCUAAAGGACGAGGACACUGGCUACAGGUCACAGGACUGAGCCUCAGUGUACAGCACACUGGCCACAGGACAAAGGGCACAGCUAUAGAAUAUAGGACACAGACUACAGAACACAGGACACAGGGUAGAGGACAUGGACACAGGCUGCAGCACACAGGCUACAGGAUACAGGCUACACAAGAUAGAACACAAGCUACAGCUUUCAGGGCAUAGGCCAGAGGGACACAGGACACAGGAUACAGGACACAGAACACAGAACCCUGGACACAGGCUAGAACACAGGCUAAGGGACAUAGGUUACAUCUAGAGGCCACAGGAUUUAGAACACAGGAUACAAGACAUAGGACACAGGACACAGGACGCACGACAGAGGCUACAGGACACAGGACACAGGAUCCUCAAUGCAUACAUAGGCCAUAGGCUACAAGACAGAGGACGCAGGCUACAUGACACAGGAUGAAGGACACAGGAAAUAAGACACAGGACACAGGUUAUAUGACAAAGGCCACAGGCCACAGGACAAAGGCUGCAUGGCAUAGUCCACAGGCUACAGGAGCCGGGCUACAGGACACAGGAUACACAACAAAGGACACAGGACACAGAAUACAGGACACUGGUUAAGGAAUACAGACUACAAGCUACAGGACACAGGUUACAGGACACAGCAUACUCGAUACAGGACACAAGCUACACUGACACAGGCUGAAGGAACGAGGAAACAAGACACAAGGACACCAGCUAUAGGACAGAGGCCACAGGACACAGGACAAAGCCUGCAUGGAAAAGGCCAAAGGCUACAGGCUAUAGGCCACAGGACAUAGGCCAUAGAUUACAGGACACAGGCUACACAACAUAUGACAAACAUCACAGGAUACAGGCUACAGGACCUAGGCCCCAGAGCUCAGAGAACAGGCUACAGGACACAGGACACACACUACAGGACAUUGUCCACAGGCUACAAGAAAUGGGCUUCAGGACACAGGACACAGACUACAGCAAAGAGGACACCAGCACUAGGACAAAAACUACAUGCCACAGGCUCAGGACACAGGACACAGGCUAGGGGACAGAGGUCACAGGCUACAGGACAGAGGCCACAAGAUUCAGGAUGCGUACAUAGGCCACAGGGUACAAGAUUCAGGACACAGGCUACACAACAUAGGACACAGGACACAUGACAGAGGAUCCAGGACAGAGGCUAUGGGACACAAGACAGACCACAGAACAAAGGAUACAGGCUGCAGGCUACACGACACAGGAUACAGGCUACACGACACAGGCUGAAAGAGAGAGGGAACAAGACACCGGACACUGGCUAUAGGAUAGUGUCCUGUGUCUUGUGGCCUGUGUCCUAGAUUGUGUAGCCUGUGUCCUGUAGCCUCUGUCCUGUGUCCUGUAGCUUGUCGCCUAUGUCCUGUGUCCUGCAACCUGUGUCCCGUAGCCUGUGUCCUAUAGGCCGUGUCCUGGGUUCCAUAUUCUGUGUCCUAUAUCCUGUGUCCUGUGUCGUCUGGGCUAUGCCCUGUGUCCUGUAGCCUGUGUCCUGUGUCCUCUGUCCUAUCUCCUGUAGCCUGUGUCCUGUGUACUGUAGCCUUUGGCCUAUGUCCUGUAGCCUGUGGCCUCCAUCCUGUAGCAUGUGUCCUGUGACCUAUGUCACAAAGGACAAAGUCCAGUGCCUGCUCUCCUCCUCACCCACCACUGGUUGAAUUGACACUUUCUUGUUGAGAAAAAUAAAGCAGAGGAAAAGAGAUAAUAUUGCGGGGAACCGAACCUUUUAUUCUGUAACAGGGUUAGAUCCAGAAAGGUCUCUGGACCUUGGACCUACAGGACACAAGACAUAGGACAUACGCGAAAGGACACAGUCUAUAGGACAAAGGACAAAGGCCACUUCAUGCUCACAGCCUCACUGUUGAGACCUCACCAAGCCAUGAGAAAUGUUUCCAAAUCAAAGCAGAGAUUGUCCAAGGUCCAGAGACCUUUCUGGAUCUAACCCUGUUACAGAAUAAAAGGUUCGGUUCCCUGCAA